CGUAAUCUAGAUUAAAAUUCGAUUAAUUGAGCAGCCCUACGUCCACCUAAUGUUAGGUUGUUAAUCUGUGAGUUGGGCCAUAUCAGUAAUUAAUCAUAAAUGUAAUCAGUUAAACAGUGUAAUUGGCAUUGAACAAUACACUAUCUGAGAAACUAUCAUAGACAACCAAAUUUGUAAGUAGUAACGGUCUUUUCUUAUUCUGUUUUGUUCUGUUUUACACUGAAAAAAAUGUUUUUUUGGCCCUGUAAUUAUUAUUUCAAUUAUCUAUAUAAAUUUUACAAAAAAAUACAAAUUCAGUGCUAUUACUUUAAAAUAGCAGUUUUUCUUGUAGUGCAUUACUUGAGGAUUGUUUGUAAUUAUGUGUCCUCAGUUUUGUAUGUAAAUUGAAUCAUUCGAUCCAAGUAAUAUUCACUAAACCAAUUCAUUGGCUUAAUUAGUUGAUAUUUCCAAGUAAAAUGUAAUGGAGUGACAUCAGUGAAUAUGGCCACCUUCUCUGCAUUCGGAGCAUGACGUCAAAGCCCCUCCACACAUUUGAGCGGUCUUUCUUCAGACAUACCAUGGUCCACAUUUCGACGGUUGGCAGACUUGACGGAAACGGGAAGAAGUGGAACCAUGAAUAACAUAGGACCUUCUGACUGCUAAUUUGAACUCCACAAGCAUCAUGUCAAUGGCAGAAGGGACAUUAUCAUUCGUUGCUUAGUUGAGUAUCUUGGAGAGAGUGGAGAGGAACUGAUCAAAGACCAUCAGGACGUCAGCCAAGAAGCAUUGAAAGAGGACUGCAGUAACCACAUGAUGAAGAUCAUCGUAAUCCAUCCCAAUGUGGCACAGGAAAACCAAGAUCCUGUGAACGUGUCGGUCAUCAUUGAGGGGACAGAAAUUCUGGAGGACUGCGGAAGUGUGACAAACGCUUGCCUGCUGCUCAUGGGUGUCAUCUAUGCUGUCAACUUAAGUUACCCACUGAAACUGAAAUAUACGUUUGAGGUAUUUCAGAAGCUGUUUCUUGAGCUUGACAUCCUUAAAAUGUCACCAAAGGUCCAGUCUCUCCACAAGAAACUUUUAG